rnacentral:rRNA from 1 species
AGAAUCAACGCUGGCGGCGUGCCUAACACAUGCAAGUCGAACGCGAAGCCCGCCUUCGGGGGGUGGUAGCGUGGCGCACGGGUGAGUAACACGUGGGUAAUCUGCCUUCGGGUGGGGGAUAACGGCGCGAAAGCGUCGCUAAUACCGCAUAACGCAGCGGCACCACAUGGUGACAGUUGUUAAAGGGGGGGAUCCUUUCGGGGACCUCCCGCCGGAAGAGGAGCCCGCGCUCGAUUAGCUAGUUGGUGAGGUAAUGGCUCACCAAGGCAGUGAUCGAU